CCUACGGGUGCAGCAGUGGGGAAUAUUGGACAAUGGGCGAAAGCCUGAUCCAGCAAUGCCGCGUGUGUGAAGAAGGUCUUCGGAUUGUAAAGCACUUUCGACGGGGACGAUGAUGACGGUACCCGUAGAAGAAGCCCCGGCUAACUUCGUGCCAGCAGCCGCGGUAAUACGAAGGGGGCUAGCAUUGCUCGGAAUGACUGGGCGUAAAGGGCGCGUAGGCGGUUUAUGCAGUCAGAUGUGAAAUCCCCGGGCUUAACCUGGGAACUGCAUUUGAGACGCAUAGACUAGAGGUCAAGAGAGGAGUGUGGAAUUCCCAGUGUAGAGGUGAGAUUCGUAGAUAUUGGGAAGAACACCGGUGGCGAAGGCGGCAACCUGGCUCGAUACUGACGCUGAGGCGCGAAAGCGUGGGGAGCAAACAGGAUUAGAUACCCUCGUAGUC
rnacentral:rRNA from 1 species